CUCUUCACAAUGUGGUGUUCACGUAUCGUCGGAAGAACGAGCUCCGAACUGUGAGGGUGUGUCGAGCUAGAGAGCAUGGUAGCUGAUGGCAGAAACUCUUUGAUUAGCGCCCUUGGAGAAGCGGAAUGAGUUUUCACGGUGUUCAUGGUGCAUGGUGCUCGUUGAGAGGAAGAAAUAAAUUGACACCGUUUGAAACUCUCUGCGUCUUGAUCAAUAUAUCCGAGGGGCUGCUACAGUGAAAACUCAUCGCUGCACCAGCCCUGCCAUCCCUGGUGAGAAGCUGAUGCCAUCACAUCUGAAGUCCAACCACCAACCUAAUACCGGCCAGUUUACUUCACUUGCAUCCAACUCCUGCACACAGGCAAGACUUAAAAUGGACAGCAUGCUUAAGGUACAGCUAGAG